rnacentral:rRNA from 1 species
GAGUUUGAUCCUGGCUCAGAACGAACGCUGGCGGCGUGCUUAACACAUGCAAGUCAGGGAGAAAGUCUCUUCGGGGAUGAUUAAACCGGCGCACGGGUGAGUAACACGUGAGUGACCUGCCUUUUAGACUGGAACAACUUACCGAAAGGUGAGCUAAUGCCGGAUGAGUUAUAUAAGUGCAUGUUUAUAUAGGAAAAGUUGGGGAGACCUGACGCUGAAAGAUGGACUCGCGUCCCAUUAGCUAGUUGGUAGGGUAAUGGCCUACCAAGGCGACGAUGGGUAGCCGGCCUGAGAGGGUGGCCGGCCACACUGGGACUGAGACACGGCCCAGACUCCUACGGGAGGCAGCAGUGGGGAAUUUUGCGCAAUGCUCGUAAGAGUGACGCAGCGACGCCGCGUGAAUGACGAAGGCCUUCGGGUCGUAAAGUUCUUUCGACAGGGAAGAAAAUGCCUAUAAGUAACUGUGUAUGUAUUGACGGUACCUGUAUAAGCAGCCCCGGCUAACUUCGUGCCAGCAGCCGCGGUAAUACGGAGGGGGCGAGCGUUGUUCGGAGUGACUGGGCGUAAAGAGCACGUAGGCGGUGUUGUAAGUCAUUAGUCAAAGACUAGAGCUCAACUUUAGUAAGGCUAGUGAUACUAUAAUACUAGAGUAUCAG